GUAGGGAAUAUUGGGCAAUGGUCGGAAGACUGACCCAGCCAUGCCGCGUGCAGGAAGACGGCCCUCUGGGUUGUAAACUGCUUUUAUCUGGGAAGAAAAAGGCCAUGCGUGGCAAAUUGCCGGUACCAGAUGAAUAAGCACCGGCUAACUCCGUGCCAGCAGCCGCGGUAAUACGGAGGGUGCGAGCGUUGUCCGGAUGUAUUGGGUUUAAAGGGUGCGUAGGCGGCUGAUUAAGUCAGCGGUGAAAGGCUUCGGGUUAACCGGGGCAGUGCCGUUGAUACUGGUUGGCUUGAGUGUCGGAGGGGUACAUGGAAUUGAUGGUGUAGCGGUGAAAUGCAUAGAUACCAUCAGGAACACCGAUAGCGAAGGCAUUGUACUGGCCGACAACUGACGCUGAUGCACGAAAGUGUGGGGAUCGAACAGGAUUAGAAACCCCUGUAGUCC
rnacentral:rRNA from 1 species